rnacentral:rRNA from 1 species
UACGUAGGGGGCAAGCGUUGUCCGGAAUUAUUGGGCGUAAAGAGCUUGUAGGCGGUUUGUCGCGUCUGCUGUGAAAAUCCGGGGCUCAACCCCGGGCCUGCAGUGGGUACGGGCAGACUAGAGUGCGGUAGGGGAGACUGGAAUUCCUGGUGUAGCGGUGAAAUGCGCAGAUAUCAGGAGGAACACCGGUGGCGAAGGCGGGUCUCUGGGCCGUAACUGACGCUGAGGAGCGAAAGCGUGGGGAGCGAACAGG